CCGGAUGGGAUGAGAUUGUUACACAUUUUUGUAUAUGGAACUUUAUAUUUUACUAAUUUAUGUGUACAAGAGAAUGAUGUCGUUGCAGUUGGUAAAUACGAUUUGCAGUGUGGUGAUUAUCGAAAUAUACUGAAAGCUCCAAGCAAGGUUACUAAAAUAAAGUUGCUAAAAAAUGUUGAAGCUCUGUACAGUGUUACAUCCGAAAAAGCAGUAAGUUGCGUAGUUAAUAGCGCAAACUGCACGUUAAUGACCUGGAAUAUUAUUCGAGGUUUGGAAAUAUUUCUUAAUAAACAUUUUAAUAACACUGGAACCAGUGGAAUUAUCCAAUUUGGGAAUAAUAUGGUAACGACAAAUUUAUCUCCAUCAUGCUGCUGGUUCUUGAAUUAACAAAUAAUAUAUAAGCUAAUUUUUGAAUAGAUUAUUCCUGGAUAUAAUUAUUUGCUUCACGUUAUUAUGAAAACAUCUUCGGGCAUCUUUGUGGAAAAGAGUUUUAAUCUCACGUUCGAUGCAAAUGACUUGCUUGAAGACAAAACUGCAUUUUUGGGGAAUUUAGAGUUAACUACUGGAUACGCUAUACUUUCCACUCUUCCUAUUGUGGUAAAUGCUAAUGUUACUUUGUGCGGAGAUAUUCCAUAUUAUUACUUUCGAUGGUGCUUUGUCACAGAU
rnacentral:misc_RNA from 1 species